rnacentral:rRNA from 1 species
AUUGAACGCUGGCGGCAGGCUUAACACAUGCACGUCGAACGAGUGGCGGACGGGUGAGUAAUACUUGGGAAUCUAGCUUAUGGAGGGGGAUAACUACGGGAAACUGUAGCUAAUACCGCAUACCAUAGGAUGAGCCCAAGUGGGAUUAGGUAGUUGGUGAGGUAAAGGCUCACCAAGCCGACGAUCUCUAUCUGGUCUGAGAGGAUGCCCAGCCACACUGGAACUGAGACACGGUCCAGACUCCUACGUGAGGCAGCAGUGGGGAAUAUUGCGCAAUGGGGGCAAGCUGAUGCAGCCAUGCCGCGUGAAUGAAGAAGGCCUUCGGGUUGUAAAGUACUUUCGGUGGCGAGGCGUUAACUGCAGAAGAAGCACCGGCUAACUCCGUGCCAGCAGCCGCGGUAAUUC